rnacentral:rRNA from 1 species
CGCGCAGGCGGUCUUGUAAGUCAGAUGUGAAAGCCCGGGGCUCAACCCCGGAAGUGCAUUUGAAACUAUAAGGCUUGAGUAUGGGAGAGGGAAGUGGAAUUCCUGGUGUAGAGGUGAAAUUCGUAGAUAUCAGGAGGAACACCGGUGGCGAAGGCGGCUUCCUGGACCAAUACUGACGCUGAGGCGCGAAGGCGUGGGGAGCAAACA